rnacentral:rRNA from 1 species
UACGUAGGGGCCUAGCGUUGUCCGGAUUUAUUGGGCGUAAAGAGCUCGUAGGCGGUUCGGUAAGUCAGGUGUGAAAUCUCCACGCUCAACGUGGAGGCGCCACCUGAAACUGCCGUGACUCGAGUCCGGUAGGGGAGUGUGGAAUUCCCGGUGUAGCGGUGAAAUGCGCAGAUAUCAGGAAGAACACCCGUGGCGAAGGCGGCUCUCUGGGACGGUACUGACGCUGAGACGCGAAAGCGUGGGGAGCGAACAGG